GACGAACGCUGGCGGCAUGCUUAACACAUGCAAGUCGAACGAGACUUUUGUGGUUAUUCUCUCGGGAGUGGGUAUGACAUGGGAGCGGCCCACUGGUGAGGAACACAUUAGCAGCCAACCUUACUAAGACCGAUAGCGGUUGUAGACGACAAUAAAUACCGCCUUAGACGCCGGAAUCGCAUGAUUAGGGAGUUAGAGAUUUAUAGGUCUAAGCAGGGCUGGGUUCGGUUUCGCUGGUUGGAAGGGUAACGGCCCACCAAGGCGACGAUCAGUAGCCGGUCUGAGAGGAUGAUCAGCCACAUUGGAACUGAGACACGGCCCAAACUCCUACGGGAGGCAGCAGUGGGGAAUAUUGCGCAAUGGGGGGAAGCCUGAUGCAGCCAUGCCGCGUGAGUGAAGAAGGUUUUAGGAUUGUAAAGUUCUGUCACAUGAGAAGAUAAUGACGGUACCAGAGGAAGAAGCCCCGGCUAAAUACGUG
rnacentral:rRNA from 1 species